UUAAAUUUUAUACAAAUAUUAUUCAUUUUUGUAGUAAAGUAGUAAAGUAUGAAGUACUAUGUUUUAUGUUUCAUUUAUGUUUCAAUAGAGAGCUAUCAUAUAUCAACAUAUGUUGUUGUUUUUGUUGUUGCUGUUGUUGUUGUUUUUAGGCGGAUUUACAAAUUAAAAACAAAGAUAGGAAAUUAGGAUAAAUAAUAAAAACGAAAUUCCAAGACACAUAGAAAGAAAUUGGUACAUCCAGGAAUUUCAGACAUUAGCACAAUAUUUACAUUUCUUGAUGACUCACGCUGUGUUUGGAGAAUCUACAACAAUGGGGAACUAAUCAAUUUUAAGAAGAAAACUUGUUUUUUAAUAUAGUUAACGAUGUUUUAAAUUUAUCUUAACAUUCGUCUGGUAAAGAGGAAACAUGGUAUGAUGUUACUGGUAGCUACAGGAUGUAUGCACUGUUUAACUUAAACAUCAUAUAAAUGUUAGAUGAAGCAUAAUGAGGUAACCUAAACAAACCAAACUUAAUUUCCGAAUGAAAUAUAACAUUAUGGUAUAUGAAAGUUGAUAAACCAAAUUAUAUUUUAAAAUAUUUUACUUCGUAUCAAACUUAGUUCGAUUUUAAUAAACAUUUUAUUUCGCAUAAAUCGCAUUUGACAAUCUGUUAGGUAUUUGGUGAACUUAAAAGUGGAAUAUAUUAAGUGUAAAAUAAUAAUAUUAUGGAAUUAAAAUACAUGUGUAAAUAUGAAAUCCAAAAUAUUAUUUUCAUGAAAGAAGUAAGUCAAGGGAUGUGACUGCAAAAAUACCGCAGACAUGGAAUUUAAGGCGACUAUAUCACUAAUAUUAGUGAUAUUAAACAUAGGAAGGCAACAUGUGUUUUCACCGGUGCCUACCGACAACUUACAGUUUCGGCGGGAAAAUUGUGAAUGGGGGUGCGAUUCAAACAUUGAUACAAAAUUGAGACUUUGUGAGACACUUUGUCAUCUAGAAACUGUUAACAACAAAUAUCAACAUGAUCAUGAAACUCAAUGUCAAGAAAUCUGUGCAAUAAAAUAUUUAAAAUGCUUGGAAGGAUGUAAAAAUAUUAUGAGCAACAUGGAGAGCUAACCAAAAUACAGUAACACUGUACUUGAAAAGUAACAUGUGAUUUAGAAAUAAUGAAAGGCAUUUGUAAAUAUGCAAUUAUCUAAAAACUUAAUUUAUGAACACUCCACAUGUUUAAUUGGAAAAUAAAAGGGAGGUUAUUUUAAGAGGUUCAAAAUAUGUAAAACAUAUACAUAGAUUUAAAUAAUAAUUAAUAAGUACAAUUUACAUGUUGUAAUUGCAAAAUAAAUUAACAUUCGUUGUUCCGGUUUUAAUUCUUUUAAUUCCUCUUUUAAAUGAAAAAAAUUUUAACAGCCAUACAAAUCAUCACAUACUGCAAGAUGAAGUGCAGGAAAAUUAUUUUGUAAUAUAAAAAAUAAAAUGAUAGCAAAUGUUCUUUUUUCUAAAUUAAUGUCAAUUUCUUUUUGCUACUUUAUACUUGUAUUAGUCUUGAUCUUUGUUACUGUGAAUAGUGUUUAAACAUGUUUUCGAAAUGCUUAAGAGAAGCGCAGUUUCUUAUGUUAACAGAACUUGUUGUUCAACCAUUUUAUCACUUCACCGCUCAUAUCUUUGUAUAUAUAUUGCUGUAUAUUUCAAAGCUAAACAUAUUAUACAUUUAUAUUUCCUAACUGUUAUUUGUGCAAAAUGUGCAACAUACAAGAAUAAGCUUUAUUAAAAAUACACAUAUUUCAAAGUUUCGAUGUCUUGGUGUCUUAUAGUUAAAUUUAAAUUUAACAACAAGACCACUUUUCAGAAACAACUAAUUUUUGUCAUUCUAAUAUAUGAACUAUAACCUAUACUUGAAAUUUGUUUAUCCUCAACAACAUGAUAUCUGUUUUUUAUUGAGAAAGUUUUUUGUCAUUGUCAUAUUUUUACAUAUAUAUAAAAUAACAUUUUAAAAAAAUGAAUUAUGAAUAUCUUUUCGCUAAUUUAUUACAAGUUUAUAUAAGUAAUUAUAUUGUAUUAAUCAAUAUAAUAUAUCAUUAUGUGAUUAUAUUUACACGUCAAAAUAAAAUUAUACUCUGUUCCGUC